UGGGGUUUGGCUCAGAGGUAGAGCGCUUGCCUCACAGGUACAAGACCUUGGGUUCAAUCCUCAGCACCACAA
rnacentral:tRNA from 1 species